rnacentral:lncRNA from 1 species
GCGUAUCCUUCUCUGUAAUUGCUAUUAAAAUAAGAGAAGAAGAAAGAACACAGACACGCUUAAACAUGCUUUGUGCUACAAGUGAUGUUUUUUGGCGGGUUUGGGAAAAGGUCCAGGCAUUGUGGGUUUCUAUUCUUUAUCAGAAAAUGAAAUCUAAAGACUUUCAAUCUUGAGCAAGUGGCUUUGAAUAGCUUCAUGUAUCAAGAUUUUUUUAAAUUCAUUCAGUUAAAUUUUAUGAUUGCAAAUGAACUGUUAUGCGACUUCCGUUUUUGCUCAUGAGGGCAUCUGCAAUUCGAUAUAUUGAAAUAUUGACCAAAGGAGUUAUCACUAAAACCUGCUGUGAGAAUGACAAUUGGAUAGAUUUUGGAUGCAAUGUUGUUAAAUGGAGGCACCAUAGCUGCCAUAGUGGAAUUGCAUGGUGGGUUUUUUUUUUCUUCUGCACCGUAGCUAAUUUGUUAGGGAGGUACACCCUGGUGGUGGUGCUAUAGCCUGGAAUGGUGUGUAUACGGAGGUAUCUUGUACUUCUUCCAUCUAUCAUUUAUACACUGCUAGAAAGAAAGGGAUAAGUAGGCCUAUAGAUGUUGUAUCUAUCAAGUAACAAAUUAACGAUUCGUAAUCUUUUACGUGGGACCAGCCAGCUAUUGGUUUUGGAUAACUUGAUUAAAUGUGAAAUUUUGCAUUCACUGAAGGAGUUUUUCUUUGGCUGAUUGAAGUAUUCCAAUUCAAUGAAUAAAUUUUCGAGAAGGUUAAUUUGGAAUUGUGGAUUGGGGUAAAGUAAAUCAUUUUCUUGAAUUUCUGUUCCCAACUGGUACACUUGCUAACAAGGAUGAAUUGUGUCAAUUUUUCCUAUCUAGUAUACCGUACACGUACAUAUAACACUAGUUUGUUUUAUUUCUUCUGGUCUGUGUUUGGUUUCAUUGCAAGGGAAAAUAAGUUUUCCUAUUAAUUGCUCAUUCUUGUCUCUAAACUAAUUGACAAGAACCUUUUAUCAAAUUUGACUUCAUGUAAUUGUUCGUGUGGGCUUGAUGAUUAUUAGUGUGCAGUUCAAAGUCAGUAUUUUUCAUUUUGUUCAACAAAUUUGUCUAUAUCUU